UCCAACUACAACUAAAAAAUAAAAUAUUUUUUAAAAAAGAAAGAAAGAAAGAGAAAGAAAAGGAAAAACUGAUACAAGAUGGAAAUCUUGUCACUCAUGAGCUGGGUAACUAUAUCAGUUGUCAUGGUCAUGGUCAUCAGCUGACAAGAUGGUUUGUGGGGACUCUGCUCACGAGGAGUAAACAGUCUACUAAGGGAAAAACAAAGAGAGACACUGGGGUUCAGAACUUAGGAGCUCCCCUGCCAGUGCUCAGGAGAGACAGCAUGCGCUAGACAGGAAACCAGGGUAAGGUGUCUGGCUUUCAGUUUGACUUUAUUUCCCAUCACUUUAGAGAGUUAAGAAAAGUGUUUUUGUUGUUGUUAUUGUUUUUAUUUAGGGCCUCGUGUUCUUUCUCUGUACAACAAGAGACAGGCAAUAAAACAAGAUGUUCUAUUGCAAUUUUUUUUAGCUGUGACACUGGAGGAUGCUAUAAAAUGAAAGGUGGCUGAGCCAAUGGAUGGGUGGAUGGAGGGAGAAUGGAUAGCUGAGUGAGCAGAGUUGUGGCUGGUGGACAGAAGAACACGUGGACAGGUACACACGAUCUUCCUGAGGCCGAGUCCAACUUCCUAUCCCCAGAAUCAUCUUCCCAUUCCCAGACCCAGAGCAUGGGGUUCCAAGACAUAACAGAAACCUCAAUUGAAGGAGGAUGAAUAAGUGGAUGGAUUAAUAGGUGCAUUUGUUUUACCUUUUCUCCUUUCUCUUUCUUUUAAACCUCUCUCAUUUUUAACACCAUAUUUAACACCAUCUUUCUCAUGUUGGUUCACUCUUUUACAUCUUUAAGCAUUUAAAUCAUAGUUACUGUACAGUCCUUUACCCAAUAACUCUAAUGUCUGGGGUUCUAGGCCAAGGUGAAUCCUGUUGGAUGUUGUGUCUGCUUUGUCUCAUUUACCACAGAUUUUUUUCUUACAUUUUGUAAUUUGAGGUGUGAUCUGAGCUUCAUCAGAGUUUUAUCAGUAGGAAUUGACAUGACCAGGUUUGAGGAUACUAUACUUUGGAUCUUCAAUGUCUCCCAAAGGCCCCAUGUAUUAAUGGCUUGGUCCUCAGGGUAGUACUAUUGGAAGGUGAAACCUUUAAAAGGUAGGGCCUUGUCUAUGACCAUUCUACCCUGAAUGCACCCAAUCUUGUCUAAAAGGUAGGGCCUAGGGGGAGGCAUUGGAGCCAGGCCCCUGAGGGAGAUUUUGGGACCCUGGCCCAUCCAGUCUCUCUCUGCUCUCCGGUUUUUCUUCCACCAUGUACUCCUAUCGCGAGAUGCUGCCUCACCACAGGUCCAAAGCAAAGGAACCAACCUGUCAUGGACUGAACCCUCCCGAACUGUUGCCAGGUGCUGGGCGUGGUGGUACAUGCCUAUAGUCCCAGCUACUCAGGAGGCUGAAGCAGGAGGAUCACUUGAGCCCAGGAGCUGGAGGCCAACCUGAACAACAGAAUGACUGAGGGUGCAGCUCUGUGGUAAAGCACCCCUCGUUUGUCAGGUAAUAAUUAGCAGCGAGCAGUGAAAUGCAUGCCAAGGCCACAAGUGUUCUUUAAAUUGCUAUAGGGUUUUCCUUUAAACACUUUCAAGAUGGACAAGAAAGCAAAAGAUGGUCGUUAAUUUGUAGAAAAUAAAUGAAAACAAAGGAGUUAACUUGGAAAAUAUGUCAAGAGAAAAGAACUAAUGUGACUAAAUCUUGACAAGGUCCAUUGAGGUUGGUAUGAAACUCGGGAUUGUGGCUGUAAGUGUUUCUAUUGUCUGGGAAGGAGGAUUCCUUCAGUGGUGACACGCUAGGAUAACCUCUGACCAGCUACUGGCCCCAGUGUCCACAUUAACAGGAUUGACUUGUAGAUGAAGCCCCCCUAAAUAGGAUGGCCACAAUGACAGUUCUGGAGAGGACCAAUUAAGGUCAAAAACUCCAUCAUCUGACGUGAAGGAGGAGGAGUUGGGCACCUGAUUGGUGAAGGUUGCUGGAAGAGGACCCCAGUUCUCCUGGUAAACUUCAAACAGUAAUAAAUUUGGAGGCAGCAUUGUAACCCUUGUCAUUCUCUGCUGAGAAAUGUCCUCUCUCUCUCUCUCUCUCUCUCUCUCUCUGAGAGUGCUCUCUGCUUGAGCCUCACUUUGCUUUCACUUUACUUUCAUCUCAAUUUUCUCAAUUUCACUUAUAAUAAAGUUCUCUUUAUGGA